rnacentral:rRNA from 1 species
GACGAACCGUGCGAACGUUAUUCGGAAUCACUGGGCUUAAAGGGCGCGUAGGCGGGUUGCCAAGUCUGUGGUGAAAUCCUCCAGCUUAACUGGAGAACGGCCGUGGAUACUGGCGACCUCGAGGGGGGUAGGGGCUUGCGGAACUGUGCGUGGAGCGGUGAAAUGCGUUGAUAUGCACAGGAACUCCGGUGGCGAAGGCGGCGAGCUGGACCCUUUCUGACGCUGAGGCGCGAAGGUCAGGGGAGCAAACGGG